AUGGACUCCAACGCCAACGGCGGGCGCAGCACGAUGGUAGGGGAGAUGGAGAGCAGCUUGGAGCGGGUCAGGCGGCAGCUCUCCUCCACCUCCACCCGCCAUAUCCUCCAGGGUCCUCUCUUGAAGCGAUCCGAUACACUAAGGAAAUGGAAUGAGCGGUGGGUUAUACUUGAUCCAGCUACUGGAAAGAUGGAAUACAAGGUUCGUAGAAGUGAUACAACUGUGAGGGGAAUAAUUGUGUUCGAUUCAACAAGCACCGCCACUUUGUCACCUACCAACUUUCAUGGACUGCCAAAAUAUGAAGGAUGUUGUGUAUAUAUUGGGACUCCACAAAAAAAGGAGUACUUUCUUUGUGCAGAAACUCCCAGCGCUGCAAGAGCAUGGGUAUCUACUUUACAUGCAACUCAAUUGGUCCUACAGGCUCAUAAACAGGCGGUGGAUUCAUUGGGUGGAAAUGGUUCUGCAAAACUGGGAACAGUUGCUACUGUUGUGGCUGUGGCCAAUGCAACUGCGAUUGAAGCAUCCAAAGAGGUAGAAGCAGCGAUGAAGAUCUCCCUGCGGGCAGCUUUAGGCUCAACUACAAAUAAACUUAGUAAAGGUCAAUUAGAUGAUCUCACAAUCAUGAUGGAGACCCUUCGAGUUAAAGAUGAUGAACUGCACCAGCUAUUGCAGGAUAUCCGUGCACGGGAUUCCACCAUCAGGGAGAUUACAGAUAAAUUACAGGAGACUGCUGAGGCAGCUGAAACUGCUGCUUCUGCUGCUCAUGCAAUUGAUGAAGCAAGAAGAUUUUUAUCUUCAGAACUUGAACGCCUGAAACAAGAUCAGGAAAAUCAAGUUGAAUUGUCCUUGCUUAGGCUAAGGGAAUCAGAAGAAAAGUCAAAGCUUCUUGCUGAAGAAAGAGAGCAUUUACUCAAGGAAAGAGAUUCUGCUCUUCAAGAAGCUCAGAUGUGGCGCUCUGAACUUGGAAAAGCUAGAGGAAAUGCUGUCAUUUUAGAAGCAGCUGUCGUGAGAGCUGAAGAGAAAGCUAGGGUUUCAGCAGCCGAUGCUGACAUGCGAAUAAAGGAAGCUGUGAGUAAGCUCGAGUCUGCUGCGAAAGAAAAGGAAGAACUCUUAGCUCUCGUGGAUGCUCUAAAAUCACAAAUACAAAGGCAAGAGACUAGCACAAAACAAAUCUGUGAGGAAAGGUCAGAGCUAUGCUCUACUUCAAAGCACAUGGACAUGGACGACGAUAACGUGGAUAAGGCUUGUUUAAGCGAUACAGACCUGAUACCUAUUGCGGAGAACAUAGUCGAGUUGGAUGACGAGGGAGUCGAUAUACGUACGAUCGGGGACACGGAGUGGGAAAAUCCUCAUUCCUCUGAAGUAUCUGAUGUAAGGGAGGUGACCACAGAAGCUGAAGAAAACAGCUUGGAUAUUCCUGUUGAUAGCCAGCCAGUUGCUGACGAUACUUUCCAAGCCUAG
rnacentral:rRNA from 1 species